rnacentral:rRNA from 1 species
UACCAGCACCCCGAGUGGUCGGGACGAUUAUUGGGCCUAAAGCAUCCGUAGCCGGUCCUACAAGUCUUCCGUUAAAUCCACCUGCUUAACAGAUGGGCUGCGGAAGAUACUAUAGGGCUAGGAGGCGGGAGAGGCAAGCGGUACUUUAUGGGUAGGGGUAAAAUCCGCUGAUCCAUAGAAGACCACCAGUGGCGAAGGCGGCUUGCCAGAACGCGCUCGACGGUGAGGGAUGAAAGCUGGGGGAGCAAACCGG